UGAAACGGCGAGUAGUCUGUACGGUUCUUGAGAAGUACAAUGACUGUCUUUGGAUGUUAAACAUGCUACUUAGACUUGGCAGUAAUGUUAUAAACCCGCAAGUUUAAACGUGAGCAGCACAGCUGUGUACCUGGCUGCUUUCAGCGUGAUUCAUUACAGAUCUAAGAGGUUGAGUUGCUUUAUAAAAGUGUAUCUUUUUUUUUUUGGUCUUGUAAUUUACAGCAAGCAGUAUGCCGUCUUCACAACUCGGAGACAAACUGUAGCAGGCAGUACGAACCGGAGCAAGGUCUAACCUCGCCUCAUAACGAGGCCGUGAGCUGUAUUUGCUCGGAGCUAUGUCUGCAAGUCCAGAUUUACCAGACGCUGAUAUUGACGCCAUUGUGUCUGCCUGUAAGACAUAUUACGAGACAGCACGCAGGAGC